rnacentral:rRNA from 1 species
AGAGUUUGAUCCUGGCUCAGGAUGAACGCUAGCUACAGGCUUAACACAUGCAAGUCGAGGGGCAUCGGGAAGAAAGCUUGCUUUCUUUGCCGGCGACCGGCGCACGGGUGAGUAACACGUAUCCAACCUGCCCUUUACUCGGGGAUAGCCUUUCGAAAGAAAGAUUAAUACCCGAUAGUAUAAUGAUUCCGCAUGGUUUCAUUAUUAAAGGAUUCCGGUAAAGGAUGGGGAUGCGUUCCAUUAGGUUGUUGGUGAGGUAACGGCCCACCAAGCCUUCGAUGGAUAGGGGUUCUGAGAGGAAGGUCCCCCACAUUGGAACUGAGACACGGUCCAAACUCCUACGGGAGGCAGCAGUGAGGAAUAUUGGUCAAUGGGCGCUAGCCUGAACCAGCCAAGUAGCGUGAAGGAUGAAGGCUCUAUGGGUCGUAAACUUCUUUUAUAUAAGAAUAAAGUGCAGUAUGUAUACUGUUUUGUAUGUAUUAUAUGAAUAAGGAUCGGCUAACUCCGUGCCAGCAGCCGCGGGAAUACGGAGGAUCCGAGCGUUAUCCGGAUUUAUUGGGUUUAAAGGGAGCGUAGGUGGACUGGUAAGUCAGUUGUGAAAGUUUGCGGCUCAACCGUAAAAUUGCAGUUGAUACUGUCAGUCUUGAGUACAGUAGAGGUGGGCGGAAUUCGUGGUGUAGCGGUGAAAUGCUUAGAUAUCACGAAGAACUCCGAUUGCGAAGGCAGCUUACUGGACUGUAACUGACGCUGAUGCUCGAAAGUGUGGGUAUCAAACAGGAUUAGAUACCCUGGUAGUCCACACAGUAAACGAUGAAUACUCGCUGUUUGCGAUAUACAGUAAGCGGCCAAGCGAAAGCAUUAAGUAUUCCACCUGGGGAGUACGCCGGCAACGGUGAAACU